rnacentral:rRNA from 1 species
UUAAAUUGAAGAGUUUGAUCAUGGCUCAGAUUGAACGCUGGCGGCAGGCCUAACACAUGCAAGUCGAACGGUAACAGGAAGCAGCUUGCUGCUUCGCUGACGAGUGGCGGACGGGUGAGUAAUGUCUGGGAAACUGCCUGAUGGAGGGGGAUAACUACUGGAAACGGUGGCUAAUACCGCAUAACGUCGCAAGACCCAAGAGGGGGACCUUUGGGCCUCUUGCCAUCAGAAGGGCCCAGGGGG